rnacentral:rRNA from 1 species
CGUCCUAUUAGCUAGUUGGUGAGGUAAUGGCUCACCAAGGCUACGAUGGGUAGGGGUUCUUAGUGGAAGGUCCCCCACACUGGCACUGAGAUACGGGCCAGACUCCUACGGGAGGCAGCAGUAGGGAAUAUUGGUCAAUGGGCGCAAGCCUGAACCAGCCAUGCCGCGUGCAGGAUGAAGGCUCUCUGAGUUGUAAACUGCUUUUGUACAGGAGCAAAAAAAUCCCUGCGGGGGUUCUUGAGAGUACUGUAAGAAUAAGCACCGGCUAAUUCCGUGCCAGCAGCCGUGGUAAUACGGGAGGUGCAAGCGUUAUCCGGUUUUAUUGGGUUUAAAGGGUGCGUAGGCGGCUUAUUAAGUCAGUUGUGAAAUCCUAGUGCUUAACGCUAGAACUGCGAUUGAUACUAUU